UUCCCCUCCAGCCAUGUAUAGGGACUAGGUGGUUCCCCUCCAGCCCUGUAUAGGGACUAGGUGGUUCCCCUCCAGCCCUGUAUAGGGACUAGUUGGUUCCCCUCCAGCCAUGUAUAGGGACUAGGUGGUUCCCCUCCAGCCCUGUUUAGGGACUAGGUGGUUCCCCUCCAACCCUGUAUAGGGACUAGGUGGUUCCCCUCCAGUCCUGUAUAGGGACUAGGUGGUUCCCCUCCAGCCCUGUAUAGGGACUAGGUGGUUCCCCUCCAGCCCUGUAUAGGGACUAGGUGGUUCCCCUCCAGCCCUGUAUAGGGACUAGGUGGUUCCCCUCCAGUCCUGUCUAGGGACUAGGUGGUUCCCCUCCAGCCAUGUAUAGGGACAAGGUGGUUCCCCUCCAGUCCUGUCUAGGGACUAGGUGGUUCCCCUCCAGUCCUGUAUAGGGACUAGUUGGUUCCCCUCCAGUCCUGUAUAGGGACUAGGUGGUUCCCCUCCAGUCCUGUCUAGGGACUAGGUGGUUCCCCUCCAGCCCUGUCUAGGGACUAGGUGGUUCCCCUCCAGCCCUGUAUAGGGACAAGGUGGUUCCCCUCCAGUCCUGUAUAGGGACUAGGUGGUUCCCCUCCAGCCCUGUCUAGGGACUAGGUGGUCCCCCUCCAGCCAUGUAUAGGGACUAGGUGGUUCCCCUCCAGUCCUGUAUAGGGACUAGGUGGUUCCCCUCCAGCCCUGUCUAGGGACUAGGUGGUUCCCCUCCAGCCCUGUCUAGGGACUAGGUGGUUCCCCUCCAGCCCUGUCUAGGGACUAGGUGGUUCCCCUCCAGCCCUGUAUAGGGACUAGGUGGUUCCCCUCCAGCCCUGUCUAGGGACUAGGUGGUUCCCCUCCAGUCCUGUAUAGGGACUAGGUGGUUCCCCUCCAGCCCUGUAUAGGGACUAGGUGGUUCCCCUCCAGUCCUGUAUAGGGACUAGGUGGUUCCCCUCCAGCCCUGUCUAGGGACUAGGUGGUUCCCCUCCGGCCCUGUAUAGGGACUAGUUGGAUGGCUUCACUAGGUUCAUUGCACCUUUGGAUACACAAUCGGCACCAUCACCUAGAAAUCGAAGGUUUGGAUUUUCUCCUCCCUUGGAUACAGGCCAGGCCCUUUUCCUAGAAAUUGUAGAUGUGGAUUUUCUCCUCCCCUAUGGGAUACAUAACAGGUAAUUUCCUAGGUAACUGUGGAUUUUGGGUUUCUUCUUUCUUUGAUAAAGGUCGGGACCUUUCCUUUGGAAUUGCUGAUGUGGGUACUUUC